AUGUGCCUGGAUGAUUUGUCUAAAAUGAAAUGGGUUUGGCUUAAAUCCAAAUGCAGGUGUGUUUACCUCAUCAAAAGAGAGGGAGCAAUGGCAGCUCAUUUACUGCUUGUCAAUCAGGCAUAUGGACAUGGUUUAAAAGGGAAUGUUUUCCUCCAAACAGGCAGUGGGGUGAAGCACAAAGAUGGUCCUUUCCCACAGGUGCAGCAGCCAGGCCAUGAGCCCCUGGCCAGUCCUGAAGGCACUGUGCUUCCUAGCACCUCCAUGCAGACCAAAAGACAAAGAGCUGUGGUCAUGGAGAGUCUUUGGCUCUGGUUUACCUAAGCACAUCUUUGUGCACUGGAAGAGGCUUUCUCGUUGAAUGAGAGCAAAGAAGAGAAAUGCUGAAAAGUAAGAGGUGCACCUCAUGGUCAUGAGAAGCUGUAGGUGAUUGUGAGGGGUGAUUCAGGCUCGCAAGGAGGAAAAAGGGAAAUCUGGGGGAAAAAAUCUCCCUUCCUCUCCAGUUUGUUCCAUCGUGGCAGAAUAAGAAAGUAACUUGAGCAUCUGGUCCCUGCUACACCUGGCAGAUGGCGUGCCAGACAUGUUGUUACUUGGACCCCCAGCCAUCCCUCCUCUGCAGCUCCUGGCAGAAGGCCAGCACUCAUAGGCCUGUGCAUCUCAGCACUUGGGUCAGGGAACAGGCUGUGUGUGUGUCCUGUGCUCCCCACACCCAGCCAAGGCAUUCUGUCAAAUGUUGAAAGCUAAGUCACAUUUUUUCUCCUUAUGCUGAGACGUUCCAAAAAUUUCAUUUUGCGAUAAGCAUCUGUAAUUCCUCUGCUUGUUCCUUGCAUGCAGACAUUCCCUCUGGCAGCUUUCUGCCAGCAGCUCACCUGCUUCUCCUCAGCUUAUCAGCUACCAGUGAAUAUCUGAAGCUUUCAGUCCCUUUCAGGUUCUUAUUUUAAAAUGUCUUUUGGUUAAGAGAGGUCAUUAUUGUACCUCACACAGAUGUUUAUCCUGACCCAAAGUAUUUUCUUUUUUGCUAAAGUCAUUUUAUUUUUUUCUUAGAAAAUAGGAGGAAAUAGGAGACAAUGAUAAUUUGUUACUUGUCCAUACACGAAACUCAUGGACAAGCUGAAUUGUGACCAGCCUCGUGUGAGCAUCUUUGCACAGAUGGAGUUUAGAGACCGUGAACUGAUAACGAAAUAGGCUGUGACCUCUGGCUGCACCCAGAGGAGGCCAUGGGCACAGGCCAGGCUGUGCUCAUUCAGUCAUUUCAAAUAUUUGUUAUGCUACAUCAUUACCUUGAAUGAUCACAAGAGCCUCAGCUUUGACAAGCCACUCUUGU
rnacentral:lncRNA from 1 species